rnacentral:rRNA from 1 species
UGGGGAAUUUUGGACAAUGGGCGCAAGCCUGAUCCAGCCAUGCCGCGUGCGGGAAGAAGGCCUUCGGGUUGUAAACCGCUUUUGUCAGGGAAGAAAUCUUCUGAGUUAAUACCUCGGGAGGAUGACGGUACCUGAAGAAUAAGCACCGGCUAACUACGUGCCAGCAGCCGCGGUAAUACGUAGGGUGCAAGCGUUAAUCGGAAUUACUGGGCGUAAAGCGUGCGCAGGCGGUUUUGUAAGACAGAGGUGAAAUCCCCGGGCUCAACCUGGGAACUGCCUUUGUGACUGCAAGGCUUGAGUGCGGCAGAGGGGGAUGGAAUUCCGCGUGUAGCAGUGAAAUGCGUAGAUAUGCGGAGGAACACCGAUGGCGAAGGCAAUCCCCUGGGCCUGCACUGACGCUCAUGCACGAAAGCAUGGGGAGCAAACAGGAUUAGAUACCCUGGUAGUCCACGCCCUAAACGAUGUCAACUGGUUGUUGGGAAGGUUCCUUCUCAGUAACGUAGCUAACGCGUGAAGUUGACCGCCUGGGGAGUACGGCCGCAAGGUUG